GGCCUCGUAGCUUAAUUGAAUAGAGCACUUGAUUACGGCUCAAGAGGUUACAGGUUUGAGUCCUGUCGAGGUCA
rnacentral:tRNA from 1 species